rnacentral:rRNA from 1 species
GUCUGCAUGGAGCCGACCUUGAAAUACCACCCUUUAAUGUUUGAUGUUCUAACGUGGACCCGUUACCCGGGUUGCGGACAGUGUCUGGUGGGUAGUUUGACUGGGGCGGUCUCCUCCUAAAGAGUAACGGAGGAGCACGAAGGUUGGCUAAUCCUGGUCGGACAUCAGGAGGUUAGUGCAAUGGCAUAAGCCAGCUUGACUGCGAGCGUGACGGCGCGAGCAGGUGCGAAAGCAGGUCAUAGUGAUCCGGUGGUUCUGAAUGGAAGGGCCAUCGCUCAACGGAUAAAAGGUACUCCGGGGAUAACAGGCUGAUACCGCCCAAGAGUUCAUAUCGACGGCGGUGUUUGGCACCUCGAUGUCGGCUCAUCACAUCCUGGGGCUGAAGUAGGUCCCAAGGGUAUGGCUGUUCGCCAUUUAAAGUGGUACGCGAGCUGGGUUUAGAACGUCGUGAGACAGUUCGGUCCCUAUCUGCCGUGGGCGCUGGAGAACUGAGGGGGGCUGCUCCUAGUACGAGAGGACCGGAGUGGACGCAUCACUGGUGUUCGGGUUGUCAUGCCAAUGGCACUGCCCGGUAGCUAAAUGCGGAAGAGAUAAGUGCUGAAAGCAUCUAAGCACGAAACUUGCCCCGAGAUGAGUUCUCCCUGAGACUUAGAGUCUCCU